AUGAACGCUGGCGGCGUGCCUAAUACAUGCAAGUCGAGCGAACAGACGAGGAGCUUGCUCCUCUGACGUUAGCGGCGGACGGGUGAGUAACACGUGGAUAACCUACCUAUAAGACUGGGAUAACUUCGGGAAACCGGAGCUAAUACCGGAUAAUAUAUUGAACCGCAUGGUUCAAUAGUGAAAGACGGUUUUGCUGUCACUUAUAGAUGGAUCCGCGCCGCAUUAGCUAGUUGGUAAGGUAACGGCUUACCAAGGCAACGAUGCGUAGCCGACCUGAGAGGGUGAUCGGCCACACUGGAACUGAGCCACGGUCCAGACUCCUACGGGAGGCACCAGUAGGGAAUCUUCCGCAAUGGGCGAGAGCCUGACGGAGCAACGCCGCGUGAGUGAUGAAGGUCUUCGGAUCGUAAAACUCUGUUAUUAGGGAAGAACAAAUGUGUAAGUAACUAUGCACGUCUUGACGGUACCUAAUCAGAAAGCCACGGCUAACUACGUG
rnacentral:rRNA from 1 species